GUCUUUUUGAAAUUAAUUUAAAGUCUAACCUGCCCACUGAAAUUUUAAAGGGCCGCGGUAUUUUGACCGUGCAAAGGUAGCAUAAUCAUUAGUUUUUUAAUUGAAAGCUUGUAUGAAUGGUUGGACGAAAUAUUUACUGUCUCAUAAAAAUUUAUAAUAGAAAUUAAUUUUUUUAUUAAAAAGUAAAAAUAAAUUUAAAAGACGAGAAGACCCUAUAGAGCUUUAUAAUUUAAUUUAAAUAAAUUUUUAAGAAUAUUUAUAUUUUUAUAUAUUAAAUUAUUUUGUUGGGGUGACAAUAAAAUUUAAAAAACUUUUAUUAUUAAUAACCAUUGAUUUAUGAAUAUUUGAUCCAUUAUUAAUGAUUAAAAAUUUAAGUUACCUUAGGGAUAACAGCGUAAUUUUUUUUGAGAGUUCAUAUCGACAAAAAAGAUUGCGACCUCGAUGUUGGAUUAAGAAUUAUUUUAGGUGUAGAAGUUUAAAAAUUUAGGUCUGUUCGACCUUUAAAUUCUU
rnacentral:rRNA from 1 species